rnacentral:rRNA from 1 species
CAAAAACAUCGCCUCCCGCAAAAAUCAACGUAUAGGAGGUCUUGCCUGCCCAGUGACUAUGAGUUAAACGGCCGCGGUAUUUUGACCGUGCAAAGGUAGCGCAAUCACUUGUCUUUUAAAUGAAGACCUGUAUGAAUGGUGGAACGAGGGCUUAACUGUCUCCCCCCUCUAGUCAAUGAAAUUGAUCUACCCGUGCAGAAGCGGGUAUAAUAAUACAAGACGAGAAGACCCUUUGGAGCUUAAGACAAAAGACCAACUACGUCAAAAGUCCUUAAAAACUAAACCAAGUAGCACUGAUCCUAGUCUUCGGUUGGGGCGACCGCGGGAGAAAACAAAGCUCCCAUGCGGACUGGGGUAAACCCCUAAAACUAAGAGAGACAUCUCCAAGGCACAAAACAUUUGACCAAAAAGAUCCGGCUAUAUGCCGACCAGCGGACCAAGUUACCCUAGGGAUAACAGCGCAAUCCCCUUCCAGAGUCCAUAUCGACAAGGGGGUUUACGACCUCGAUGUUGGAUCAGGACAUCCUAAUGGUGCAGCCGCUAUUAAGGGUUC